rnacentral:rRNA from 1 species
UACGGGGGGUGCAAGCGUUAAUCGGAAUCACUGGGCGUAAAGGGUGCGUAGGCGGUACGUUAGGUCUGUCGUGAAAUCCCCGGGCUCAACCUGGGAAUGGCGGUAGAAACCGGCGCACUAGAGUAUGGGAGAGGGUGGUGGAAUUCCAGGUGUAGCGGUGAAAUGCGUAGAGAUCUGGAGGAACAUCAGUGGCGAAGGCGGCCACCUGGCCCAAUACUGACGCGGAGGCAAGAAAGAGGGGGGAGAAAAAAGG